GACGUAGGGCGCGAGCGUUGUCCGGAUUUAUUGGCGUAAAGAGCGCGCAGGCGGCAUGGCAAGUAAGGUGUGAAAUUUCCCUGCUCAACGGGGAGGGUGCACUUUAGACUGCCAAGCUAGAGGACGGUAGAGGGGGUAGAACUGCUGGUGUAGCGGUGAAAUGCGUAGAGAUGUGGAGGAACACCGAUGGCGGAACGGCAGCCCCCUGGCCGAUACUGACG
rnacentral:rRNA from 1 species